CCCUUAGACGUUCUGGGCCGCACGCGCGCUACACUGACCAGUGCAACAAGCAUCCGUCCUUGGCCGACAGGCCCGGGCAAUCUUUGAACGCUGGUCGUGAUGGGGAUAGACUUUUGCAAUUUUUGGUCUUCAACGAGGAAUUCCUAGUAAACGCAAGUCAUCAACUUGCAUUGAUUACGUCCCUGCCCUUUGUACACACCGCCCGUCGCACCUACCGAUUGAAUGGUCCGGUGAAUUCGUUGGACUGGCAAUAGCCGGAAAAUCGAGUGAACCUUACUAUUUAGAGGAAGGUGAAGUCGUAACA
rnacentral:rRNA from 1 species